UACGGAGGGUGCAAGCGUUAUCCGGAUUCACUGGGUUUAAAGGGUGCGUAGGUGGGCAGGUAAGUCAGUGGUGAAAUCUCCGGGCUUAACCCGGAAACUGCCAUUGAUACUAUCUGUCUUGAAUACCGUGGAGGUGAGCGGAAUAUGUCAUGUAGCGGUGAAAUGCUUAGAAUAUGACAUAGAACACCAAUUGCGAAGGCAGCUCACUACACGAAUAUUGACACUGAGGCACGAAAGCGUGGGGAUCAAAACAGG
rnacentral:rRNA from 1 species